rnacentral:SRP_RNA from 1 species
GCCAGGUGCGGUGGCACGUGCCUGUAGUCCCAGCUAUUUGGGAGGCUGAGGUGGGAGGAUCACUUGAGCCCAGGAGUUCUGGGCUGUAGUAUGUUAUGCCGAUUGGGUGUCCGCAUGAAGUUCGGCAUCAAUAUGGUGACCUCCCGGGAGCGGGGGACCACCAGAUUGCCUAAGGAGGGGUGAACUGGCCCAGGUUGGAAACAGAGCAGGUCAAAGCUCCCACGCUGAUCAGUAGUGGGAUCGCACCUGUGAACAGCCACUGCACUCCAGCCUGGGCAACAUAGCAAGACCCUGUCUCU